ACUCCUACGGGAGGCAGCAGUAGGGAAUCUUCCACAAUGGGCGCAAGCCUGAUGGAGCAACACCGCGUGAGUGAAGAAGGGUUUCGGCUCGUAAAGCUCUGUUGUUAAAGAAGAACACGUAUGAGAGUAACUGUUCAUACGUUGACGGUAUUUAACCAGAAAGUCACGGCUAACUACGUGCCAGCAGCCGCGGUAAUACGUAGGUGGCAAGCGUUAUCCGGAUUUAUUGGGCGUAAAGAGAGUGCAGGCGGUUUUCUAAGUCUGAUGUGAAAGCCUUCGGCUUAACCGGAGAAGUGCAUCGGAAACUGGAUAACUUGAGUGCAGAAGAGGGUAGUGGAACUCCAUGUGUAGCGGUGGAAUGCGUAGAUAUAUGGAAGAACACCAGUGGCGAAGGCGGCUACCUGGUCUGCAACUGACGCUGAGACUCGGAAAGCAUGGGGUAGCGAACAGGAUUAGAUACCCUGGUAGGAUAGCG
rnacentral:rRNA from 1 species